GAGAGUGGAACCUGAAGUCCACUCUCUCUCUCUCUCUCUCUCUCUCUCUCUCGAGAGAGAGAGAGAGAGAGAGAGAGGGAGGGAGAAGGAGAAG
rnacentral:miRNA from 14 species